UGUAAUUGGGCUGAUGAACCGCCUGAUUUUGUUGUAAGCACCCUCGUGAACGAUGUAACAAUAUUACCCAAUCAAUAAAGCAAGACAUGAUGGCAUUCCGUGUAAAAAGAUAUUGCAUGCCCUAGGGAUUAGAGUAAUGCUACAGGACUGCCACUGGCUCAACAUACACAGAUGAUGCUUUGCUAUGCACAUGGCAAAAAGAUCAGUAGCUAUAAACAUGUACAACUAAAAUCUAAAAUAUACAAACACGGCAUAUGCUGAUCGAACUCAGGUGGACCAAGUAGUAUCUCACCGCGGCACCUCUCCUAGUACCAAACAAAUGAUCUUAUAUAUUCACCAUACCUGGAAGGUUCUACGAAGGAUGCGAUGUGCGUGUACCAUUAUGAAGUUAUAAUGGGGGAGGACGAGCAUGUGGCUCGAUGAUUGGAUUGGCGGUGGCCACUCAGCCCGCCCCAAGUUCGAUCCCUGCGAUUGACUUGGGUAUCUCACCCCCGAGUAUUUUCCAUUGCAGGUUCGUCGCACGUCUAUGAGCCACGGUUUUCAAGAAGUGUUGCAUGUGUAUAGGUUGUAUCCUUGUAGGAGCAUGUUGGGGUGUGUGUAGUGGUGUGCGUGCGUGCGCGCGCGUGUGUGUUCAGUUUCUACAACUUGUAUCCAUGUAACUGAGGCUCAAAAAUGUUGUGAGACAUGAAUACAUGAUCAACUUUGAGUGCGUGUUUAGAGUAGGUAAGACAAUGGUGGCUGCGUGGUUGGUUGACUUGUCGUGAUCGCUGGCUGAUGCCAUGUAUUGCUGGAUUGACGAGCUUCAUUGAGCUCUAUGCGGUGGGUGCACCGAUCCUAUCUACUAAUGUCAAAGUUGUUAACUAAAGCAGUAAGUUAAACUUGAAGGAAAGCUCCAGCCAACAACAAUCUAAAUGUAGCACAUAAGCGGCGUCCAUAAAAAACCAGCGCCUAAUCAAACAACAUCGUUGUUCAAGAAACACCGUACCGAACGCAGCCCACGACAAGAAACAACAAAUCUAAUACCAGAGGAAACAAUACAAACCAGAUUGCACGCAGGCGAAGCAGCAGGCCGAGCAGACGCACGGCGAGAUGGACGACCAGAACAGCAACGGCGCAGCAGGCCGAGCAGACGCAGGGCGAGAUGAAUGACCAGAACAGCAACGGCGCAGUUCGCGUGAACGGCGAAGCAACCGCGGAAGUUGCACCGACAGCCGGAACAACACGACGGCGAGGAUCCUCCAGCCACAGCUUGGAACCGAGGCGUACCCUGCACCCAAAUCGCCAAUCUCCACUGUUUAGAGAUGCGCCAAGUCGCUAACCCUUUGAGAAGACACGCUCACAGGGAAACCCAUACACACACCCGACACGCGGCUUGGACCAGCGGCCAGCUGGAGAUUAAAGCUUGCUGAGAGGACACACGCACACACACCCGACACGCUGCAUGCAUCAAUGUGCAUCCUGGGUCCUUGCAGUCACAAGGCGACGAGCGCACUAUACCUCGCGCAUGGUCUCGGGCGGACGUGCUUUUUUCUAGACCAUGGUUAUCGUGAUUUUUUAGUGGGAUGGUAGUAUGGUUAAUAAUACAACAAUCGGCUCUAAGGCCUCCCUUCGUUUCUAAAUAUAAAUCCACGAAGCAAAAAGGAUGAAUCUAUACUGUAAAUUAUGUUUAUAUACAUUCAUAUAUAUAGUUCAUCAUGAAAUCUCUAUAAAGACUUACAUUUAGAAACAGAGGAAGUAUGUUAUUAAUAGUUGGCCCACCAUAUAACCUCACAAAGCGUCUUGAGUCUUUGUGCUGCAGCUGGCUACUAAUCAGCAAUCCGCUUCUCAUCUCUCUCCUCCAAAAUAAGCAAAUAUAUAAUAUUUUAUUUCUUAUAGCAUGCUUAUAUCGUCAUAUUGUACUUACUCUUAUGUCGGCGUGCCAAACGGGCCGUCGUGCCAGCCCGUUUAGCGAGCGGUCGAGCCUGGGCUAGGGAGGGCACGGAGUAUUUAGCGUGCCUAACCGGGUCGUGCCGUGCCUGGCCCUUUUAACCCAGGCCAGGCCGUGCUGGGCUGGGCCGGUCCAUUUGGCCAGGUUUGCACACACCGAAGCCCACUCACACCCAACAUGCAUAAUGUUGUGGCCCACAAGGCAUACACCCUUGAACAGCGGGGGCCACCAAGCAAACGCAUCUAUUUUCAGUGAGUUUUUCUUUUUUGAGGUUAUAUAUUCUUAGGGAGUUUUUUUUUCACAGCAGAAACAAGUGUGACGAUCCAGUCAAAAUCGUACCGCUCAAUUGAACGAGGGAGUUCCUACCUAUAUGAACUUUAUUUACCAAAAAAUCAGAUCUAUUAUAAAAGUUCAUCGAAAGUAUAAAGCAUCUCAAACAUAUUAAAAUUUACAUAGAGAUUCCCGGACCACCAAACGGCAACUACUGUUGUCCGAACUCCUAGAUAAAGCCACACACAAUUCGAUAAACUUCAUAAUCUUACUACUUGUUGGCAGAUGCUCCUAGUCAAACAGGAGGAACUCGACGGUACCAAUGAUGUUGACAUCAACCAUAUGACUCAGGCUCAUGCCAAUAGUUAUCGCUAUGGUAACUGUGUUAUUCCAAUUCUAGAUAAUUCACAUCAUUCCACCCUAGCUUAAUACCCUUCUUACGUGUCAUUUAUAGAACCACCGCCCUGCCGCAAGCACAAGCAGCCCCUAGAAUAUAUUCAUCGCCCACGCAAGCCCGGGUAAGUCCCAAAGUUCAAAGGGGAAAAAAUCCAUCUGAAAGCUAGAAAAUACAUUACUCGUGGCAAGCCUGGUGAUCACUACUUAGAUGUGUUCGCUGCCCACUGUGUGUGGGGAAAUACAUUUAAGCUGUAUAACAAAAAUGUUUGCAAUCUGCGAAAUAUCAUCGAAGGCAAGAAAACACCUGACCAUUACUAAGUAUGCCACAUGACAGAAACAUUUGCUACUGAUGGAAAAAGGAUGUACUUUAGCACACACUUUUCUAAGAGAAGCCUCUUCCCGCACAUGGAUGAUGAUCAUGAUGAGCUACCAGUCAGUACAGGAGACGGGACCACCAGUGUCAUGGCCCGCUUUAUCAAGGGAGUCGACAAUAGGGCUACACUCACAAAGAACUAGAGCAGCUUAUUCAUAAGGCAAACAUGAAGAAAGGGUGUGUAUAUGCUUUUGCCUUCAAGUGCAUGUCUAAGGGCCUCUGCAUGAUUGUCUAUCCAAUCUAAGCAGAUCACAAAAGUCCUUUGCUACGUAACUUGGUAUUACUAUAAGUACCCAUCGAGACUUUUAUAUGUGGCAUCAUUUUGGAUCUUAUGUAAAAACAAUUAUGACAAUCCUGUCCGUAUGACUAUCAUCAAUCCGUACUUAUUUUCAUAUGUUUU